rnacentral:rRNA from 1 species
GCGGUACUCUGACCGUGCAAAGGUAGCAUAAUCAUUUGCCUUAUAAUUGAAGGCUAGUAUGAAUGGUUUGACGAGAAUUAAGCUGUCUCUUUACAAUUAAAUAUAAUUUUAUUUACAGGUGAAGAAGCCUGUGUUUUAUUGAAAGACAAGAAGACCCUAUCGAGCUUUAAAAAAUUUAGUAGACUUAUCUUAUAUUAAUAAAAAUAUAAGGCUAUUAAAAAUUUUGGUUGGGGCGACUGAGGAACAAAUAAAGCUUCCUUUAUAGUUAAAAACUUACAAGUAUUGAUCCAAUAAAUUUGAUUAAAGGAAUUAGUUACCGUAGGGAUAACAGCAUAAUCUUCUUUGAGAGCUCCGAUCGAAAAGGAGGUUUGUGACCUCGAUGUUGGACCAGAAUACCCAGAAGAUGCAGCUGUCUUCAAAGGUUGGUCUGUUCGACCAUUAAAAUUCU